rnacentral:rRNA from 1 species
AUUGAACGCUGGCGGCAGGCCUAACACAUGCAAGUCGAGCGGAUGAAGGGAGCUUUCUCCUGGAUUCAGCGGCGGACGGGUGAGUAAUUCCUAGGAAUCUGCCUGGUCGUGGGGGCUAACGUCCGGAAACGGGCGCUAAUACCGCAUACGUCCUUAGGUAGAAAGUCGGGGAUCUUCGGACCUCACCCUAUCAGAUGAGCCUAGGUCGGAUUAGCUAGUUGGUGGGGUAAAGGCCUACCAAGGCGACGAUCCGUAACUGGUCUGAGAGGAUGAUCAGUCACACUGGAACUGAGACACGGUCCAGACUCCUACGGGAGGCAGCAGUGGGGAAUAUUGGACAAUGGGCGAAAGCCUGAUCCAGCCAUGCCGCGUGUGUGAAGAAGGUCUUCGGAUUGUAAAGCACUUUAAGUUGGGAGGAAGGGCAGUAAGUUAAUACCUUGCUGUUUUGACGUUACCAACAGAAUAAGCACCGGCUAACUUCGUG